AGAAGGUUAUAGAAGACUAACAGCUCCUUAGUUUGGCUUUUGUUUUACGAUGCCACUGACCGAGACAGGAGAAUUGCUGAAAUAGCACAGAUUUUCAGGGUUUGGUAGAUCUUGAAUGUGAGAUGACAGUGAGACUUUCAGCUAAAAAUAGUUGAACUGUGUGUGUGUGUGUGUGUGUGUGUGUUAUGGUGUAGUGUGUAGGGAUCAUAAAUUUAAUUCAUAUUACAACUUGAAUGAACAUAUAAAAUGCAAUAUUCUUCUUUGGUCUGUAUUUCAACUGGACUUAAUCACAAGUCUCAUUUACUAAGGGAAGUUAUAGGAGUAAUUAAAUGGCUGGUCUGAUUUCAUGUGUUUUCCAACAACUAACUUAAUUAGUCCUUGAAAUUAACUGUCUAGAUUCGGUUAUUGACAGUUGCCCCUCCCAAGACCCAUUUACUAUGACAUCAUGGAUGUAGGAGUGGAGUGUUCAUGUGCUUCAUGGCAGGAAAAUGAACAGUCUUCAAAUCCACCUGGCGUUUUCUGGAUCUUCAUGGUAUUGACAUCAAAAAGUCAGUCCACUGUCCUGGGAGGCCACAGGAAAGUAGGCUCUCUCCCCAUUCACAAAUGGAAAUAAUAUGGAGAAGAUUGCUAUAUAAGAUUAAUUCCUAUUAUCAAAGAAUGGCUUCAGCAUGAUAAAAAUGGCAGAGUAAAGUUCAUGACUUAAUGGUAAAAAUCAAAA